rnacentral:rRNA from 1 species
UACGUAGGGUGCGAGCGUUAAUCGGAAUUACUGGGCGUAAAGCGUGCGCAGGCGGUGAUGUAAGACAGGUGUGAAAUCCCCGGGCUUAACCUGGGAACUGCAUUUGUGACUGCAUCGCUGGAGUGCGGCAGAGGGGGAUGGAAUUCCGGCGUGUAGCAGUGAAAUGCGUAGAUAUGCGGAGGAACACCGAUGGCGAAGGACA